UUUGGACCAGGAAGUGACAUUACAUUUCUGCCAAUUCAUGGCUCAAUGGUCGAAGGGUGUCGCUGGAGCCUAUCUUAGGUGCAUUCGGGCGGAAGGCGGAGUACACCCUGGACAAGUCGCCACCUCAUCACAAGGCUAACACAGAUAGACCGACAACACAGGAGGCUGUCCUCGUCCCGUCCAGUCGGCAACAAAAAGUGCCACAAAACUUUCCCACCGACACCGCCGCCUUGCCGUACAAGAAGAGAAGCCAGAGACCGUACGGGAUUACAAAUUUGCCCGACAGUAAAG